AUGAAUUUUCUCUCUCGCUGCUCUUUCAGCAUGAAAAUCAGAACAGUAAACUUCCAUCUGUUAGAGGAAAAAAAGAUAACAGAAGUGAGUACCUAGAAGACUGUGGAUUCUCUACAGUGCACCUGUUUAUGUGGAUAAUCAGGCAAGAAAAAAAAAAUAAAAGGCAUUCAGACUGCAAAAGAAGAAGCAAGACUAUCUCUGCAGAUGACAUAAUCCUGAAGAUGGCAAUUCUCCAAAUGAUUUGGUGAUACAAUGCUAUCCCUAGUAAGAUCCAAGCAGGUUUUUUUCAGAAAUUAACAAGCUGAUCCUAAAAUUCAUAUGUAACAGCAAAGAGCCCAGAAUAGCCAGCAGUCUUUAAAAAUAAGAACAAAGUUGGAAGGCACACUCUUCUUGAUAUGGUUGGGCUUUGUGCCCCCACCCAAAUCUCAUCUUGAAUUGUAAUCCCCAUAAUCCCCACGUGUCAAGGGAGAGACCAGGUGGAGGUAACUGAAGCAUAGGGGCAGUUUCCCCCAUGCUGUUCUCGUGACAGUGAGUGAGUUCUCAUGAGAUCUGAUUAGCACCUCUCCUUCCUGCUGCCUUGUGAAGACGGUGCCUUGCUUCUCCUAUUGCCCUCCGUCUUGAUUGUAAGUUUCCCGAGGCCUCCCCAGCCAUGCUGAACUGUGAGUCAAUUAAACAUCUUUUCUUUACAAAUUACCCAGUCUCAGGCAGUUCUUUACAGCAGUAUGAAAACGAACUAAUGCACUUCCUGAUUUCAAAACUUACUACCUAGCUAUAGUACUCAAGACACUGUAGUACUGGCAUAUGGACAGACAUAGAUCAAUGAAACAGAAUUGAGAGUCUAAUGAAGUUGGACUUCUAUAUCACAGCGUACAUUGAAACAAACUCAGAAUGGACCACAGACUUAAAUGUCAGAGAUAAAAGUACAAAAUUCUUAAGAGAAAACAAAGGAGUAAAUCUUUGUGACCUUGAGUUAGGCAAUGGUUUCUCAGAAGGGACAUCAAAAGCACAGGUGACAAAAGAAAAAGGAGACAAACUGUAUUACAUCAAAAUAGAACAAAUGUGCUGCAGAUGAUACCAUCAAGCGAAAAGACAAUCCAUAGAACGGGAGAAAAUAGUUGCAGAUCAGAUGUUUAAUAAGGGACUUGUAUCCAGAAUGUAAAAUGGAUUCUUAUAAGUCAAUGUAAAAAGACAACCCAAUUUUUAAAAAUCGGCCAAGGAUCUGAAUAGACUUUUCUCCAAAGCAAACAAAUGGUCAACAUGAAAAGAUGCUCAACAUCACUGUCACUAGGGAAAUAUAAGUCAGAACUAUGAAAUACCAAUUCACAUCCACUAGGAUGGCUCAAGUCAAAGUGACAGACAGUAAAAAGCAAGCAUUGCUAUGGACGUGGAGAAAGUGGGAUGCUCAUACACUGCUGGUGGGAACGCAAAAUUGCACAGCUGCUCUGGAAAGCAAUUUGGUGGUUCCUUAGAAUAUGGAGCAGAGGCACCAUAUGACCCAGCAAUUCCACCCAUAGCAAUAUACCCCAGCGAAUUAAAAACGUACGUCCAAGUAAAAGCUUGUACACAGUGUUCAUAGCAGCAUUGUUCAUAAUAGAUAAAAAGUGGCAACAACCCUAAUGUUUAUCAACUGACGAAUGAAUAAACAAAUGUGGUCUAUAUAGACAAUAGAAGAUUAUUCAGCAAGGAAAAGGAAGUAUUGAUAUGUGCUACAUUGUAGAUGAACCUCAAAAGCAUUAGGCUAAGUGAAAGAAGCCAGUCAGAACAGACCACAGACUGUAUAAUUCCAUUUAUAUGAAGUGUCCUGAAUGGCCAAGUCUAUAUAGAGAGAAAGCACACUGCUUAGAGGAGCAGGUAGUGAGUGCUAUUUGGGGGAAAAUGUUCUGAAAUUAUAUUUUAGCAACAAUGGCUGCAUAAUCCUGUGAGCAUUCUAAAACACACUGAGAUGUACACUUUAAAGGGGUAAACUCUAUGGUAUCUUAAUUAUAUGUCCGUAAAGCUGUUUUUUUAAAAAAUGUGUAUUUCAA